UGCCAGCCGCCGCGGUAACACGGGGGGCGCAAGCGUUAUUCGGAAUUAUUGGGCGUAAAGGGCGCGCAGGCGGUUCGUUAAGUCUGAUGUGAAAGCCCGGGGCUCAACCCCGGAAGUGCAUUGGAAACUGGCGAACUUGAGUACGGGAGAGGAAAGUGGAAUUCCGAGUGUAGGGGUGAAAUCCGUAGAUAUUCGGAGGAACACCAGUGGCGAAGGCGGCUUUCUGGACCGAUACUGACGCUGAGGCGCGAAGGCGUGGGUAGCGAACGGGAUUAGAUA
rnacentral:rRNA from 1 species